GGUAAAAUAGCUGAGUAAACAUUAGAGUGUAAAUCUAAAGGUAGAGGUUAGAUUUCCUCUUUUACCA
rnacentral:tRNA from 1 species